GGGCUGCUCCUAGUACGAGAGGACCGGAGUGGACGCAUCACUGGUGUUCGGGUUGUCAUGCCAAUGGCAUUGCCCGGUAGCUAAAUGCGGAAGAGAUAAGUGCUGAAAGCAUCUAAGCACGAAACUUGCCCCGAGAUGAGUUCUCCCUGAGACUAUAAGUCUCCUGAAGGAACGUUAAAGACGAUGACGUUGAUAGGUCGGGUGUGUAAGUGUAGCGAUACAUUGAGCUAACCGAUACUAAUGAACCGUGAGGCUUAACCUUACAACGCCGAAG
rnacentral:rRNA from 1 species